UUAAAUGGCCACUCUACACACCCAGUUGAAAGUGAAAAAGCCCUCUGCUACUGAUCAGAUCCACUUCGGGAUGCGAGCAAAGAGUUGCAACAGCUACCUAUUCAUCAUUAGACAGGGCACGUGAGAUACGUGCUCUGUCCUAUGGAAGCUUUUGUUAAAACGCCCCUUCACACUGCUCCGUGGCUUGUGGCUCAGUUUUAUUUCGACAGGUCUAACAGGAUCCCGCAUUUGUUUUGAUCGGAAAAGACUAGACGUGACGAAUCUGCGUACCUCAGAGGUCUCGGUUCAUCUCACGUGGCUGCUGUAACCGGAGGAGAGAUUGCGUGAGAAAGCGGCUCGGUGUCCUGACGGACAGGAGGAACCUGGUGUCGGCCUCCACAAGCUGCGGAUCACCGUGAGACUAUAGACGGGGACUAAAUAGCUGAGAGGGCGGACUCAGCGUCAGGCAGAACUCCACUGAGAAAUGUCGCAGUUUAAUGGCAAUCUCCGAAAAUAUUUACCAGCUAUAAAGACUCGAACGUGUUGGGCAAUCUUGUCAGUUACCGUUCAGUUCGGCAUACAGAGUCUGGCUUUGCAAAGAGAAGGGCACGCAUUGAGGUUUCAACAAAAAGCACAAAGUAAGGAAAGGGUUUAGUGGCUGCCAGUUUCCCCACAGGGCGAGCUGGGUGUCGCCUCGGCCCACAGAGUCCUGGCUCUGAAAGAACUGUUCCUGUCAGCACAAAGACUCACCUUUACAGUGGAUAAGUGAAGAGCCGCUGCCAAAAGGAUUUGUAACGUUACCACACUGACAACAAAGUUCAUGGUUGUAAUUCCGCACGAAGAGUCUUGAAAUCUCUGCGCUCGUGAGGGAGUCAAAAAUGUACCAAUUCCGACGAACACACACACUCAAACAUAGUCAGAAAAUGAAAAAAUAUAUACAUUUUUUUUUUUUUUUUUAAAAACCGCGGCAAAUCUUUGCUAUAGCAAAAGCGAAUCCAUUUCUUGCACGCGCAUGUGGCACGUUCACAGGAAGCCUGCCAGUGUCUCCCGGCAGCGCUGCGACCGGAUCCAACGAGACUGGCUCAUCCGCAGAACUCUGCUGGGCUAGAUUGUCCGGAGAUGACCGUAAGAGCCUAACGUUUAGGGGUCCGCUCAGAUACUUUACGCAUGGGGUCUCUCAUUGAGCCCACAACAACAGGCGUGCGUGGAGGGAUCCGCCGGUAUAAAGUGAUCCGUUUGCUUUCUUAUGGAGAGCUUCUUUGUUGUGGUUCUUAUUUAGUGUCCAGUGCCGUGCCUGGGCUGCUUUUCGGAUAAGCACCGGUACCACCCUCUGUCGUGUUCCGUGUCCUCUUGGCGGCCGCUGCUGUACUUCGUGCGUUAUUAAAGGUGGCCGGCAGCAGCAGCCAACCACAGCUGGAGGCGGGGCGGCUGGCAGGAACCAAUUGCAGAGGGUUUUUUUUUUUUUAUUAAUCUUUAUUGGUAAAGAUAUUGAACAAUGGUAGAAAUAGUCAUUAAUACAAAUACAUACAAGAUGUGAAUAGAGCCAGGGGGAGUUUUCAUACAAAAACAUUAAACAAAAGAGCAGAAAUUAGUUUUCACAACUUUUUUUUAUUUUUUUUAAAUCAGAUGUUAUUAAUGCACUGCUCAGUUUCAUUUUCAAAGACUAUAAAUAAAAGGUUUAGAGUGA